UCUUUGAAAUAGUGUAUUGGUUUUCCGUCCCCCCCGGCGACUGUCGGCUCCGGGAUGGAAUGAAAAGGGAAUUCCGUGCCCCGUCAGAUGCUGACGUUUAUCAUAGAUAUGACGGGAAAUCGGAAGCUGUACCCGCAACUGUAAAUCCAUUGCUACGCUGUCUCCAACCUUUUGCCACUGUCCCGGUAACCGGGAUGGGAAGGCCGGACAGCAGGAUGAGCCAGAAGACCUGCCAAACGAUCCUAUUUCUU
rnacentral:ncRNA from 2 species